UAAUUAGCGGAGGAAAAGAAACCAACAGGGAUUGCCCUAGUAACGGCGAGUGAAGCGGCAACAGCUCAAAUUUGAAAUCUGGCCCUCUAGGGGGUCCGAGUUGUAAUUUGCAGAGGGUGCUUUGGUGUCGGUGGCGGUCUAAGUUCCUUGGAACAGGACAUCGCAGAGGGUGAGAAUCCCGUAUGUGGUCGCCAACCUUCGCCGUGUAAAGCCCCUUCGACGAGUCGAGUUGUUUGGGAAUGCAGCUCUAAAUGGGAGGUAAAUUUCUUCUAAAGCUAAAUACCGGCCAGAGACCGAUAGCGCACAAGUAGAGUGAUCGAAAGAUGAAAAGCACUUUGGAAAGAGAGUCAAAUAGCACGUGAAAUUGUUGAAAGGGAAGCGCUUGCAGUCAGACUUGCCCGUAGUUGCUCACCCGGACUUUUGCCCGGGGCACUCUUCUGCGGGCAGGCCAGCAUCAGUUUGGGCGGCCGGACAAAGGCCUCUAUCAUGUAUCUUCCUUCGGGAUGACCUUAUAGGGGAGGUGUAAUGCGGCCAGCCUGGACUGAGGUCCGCGCUUUUGCUAGGAUGCUGGCGUAAUGGCUGUAAGCGGCCCGUCUUGAAACACGGACCAAGGAGUCUAACAUCUAUGCGAGUGUUUGGGUGUCAAGCCCGGGCGCGCAAUGAAAGUGAACGGAGGUGGGAACCCUCGGGUGCACCAUCGACCGAUCCUGAUGUCUUCGGAUGGAUUUGAGUAAGAGCAUAGCUGUUGGGACCCGAAAGAUGGUGAACUAUGCUUGAAUAGGGUGAAGCCAGAGGAAACUCUGGUGGAGGCUCGCAGCGGUUCUGACGUGCAAAUCGAUCGUCAAAUUUGGGCAUAGGGGCGAAAGACUAAUCGAACCAUCUAGAAGUGGUCU
rnacentral:rRNA from 1 species